rnacentral:rRNA from 1 species
UACGGAGGGUGCAAGCGUUAUCCGGAUUCACUGGGCUUAAAGGGUGCGUAGGUGGCUUUGUAAGUCAGUUGUGAAAUCUUAGAGCUUAACUCUAAAACUGCCAUUGAUACUGCUUAGCUUGAAUCAAGUAGAGGUGGAUGGAAUAUUACAUGUAGCGGUGAAAUGCUUAGAUAUGUAAUAGAACACCGAUUGCGAAGGCAGUUCACUAUGCUUGUAUUGACACUGAGGCACGAAAGCGUGGGGAUCAAACAGG